UGGUUUUGAAAAUGGUUGAAUGAUGAAUGAGAAAUCUGAUUUUUAAGUUGUGUUGAUGAUUAUGUUUUUACUUGAUUCUCCCAUGUUAAGUUGAUUUAAUGAAAAUGGAGUUUGGAUUAUGCAUGUGUGUUGUUUGCUGGUCAUAAUGGUAUGCUCAAUUUACAUUUCUGGGCAAAUAUUUUUUCGAUUUUGUGGAUGAAGAUGAAGCUCCACUGUAGCAGCAAACCCUAAUUUCAUGGCUGCCCAGAAUUUGUUUUACGUACGUUGCAUGUUGUUGCUAC
rnacentral:lncRNA from 1 species